GCCUUUACUGUAUAAAUACAGUCUUGGUGAACAGAAGAUACUUCAAAAACAUUAAAAAAUCUUACUGGCCACAAACGUUUGAGACAUAGUGUAGAUAUGUAUAUAUUUUAUAAAUCAAUUUAUGUAUCUGCUUUGUGGAAACAAUGAUUUAGUUUUUAUCAAAUGCUGUAAUUAAUACAUUUGUCUCAAAUGGUUCUUUUUAACAGCUUAAUCUACUGUCAGUAAAAUCAUUCUGUGUCUCUCAUGUAGGGAUGUCUGCUCUGCACAUCAUCAUACUGAUGCUUUGCUUUACUUCCCUCUUGUUGACUUUUAUAUUAAGUAUUCCAGUCAAAAUCUAUAUAAACAGAAAAGGUAGGCUAGGAGCUAUGGAGGUAUGCUGUUAAGAGUUAUAUUUUUUAUCUAUUCCAAAUGUAAUGUAAUAGGAUGUUUAAUUGCUGUUCUUUUAUUCUCAGACACCAUGUUUCUGAUUGCACAUGGUGUUUAUGUUCUUCUGCAGAUACUGGCACAAAACCCAUGUACAUAAAUUAUUUGCAGGUAGUCUGUCCCAACAUCUGUUUGUCUAUAGCAUUUGUUUUGUGGGGUGUAAUUGAAGGUAAGUGACUUGAACAUUCCUAAGUCUGCAUGUAUCGUCAAGGUUUUUUCAAUAUUAUAAGCCUGAUGAUGUCUUGAGUGUGUUUUUUUUCACUGCUUUGUUCAGGGUCUGUUGUUGAGGUAACAAUGUGUGCAACAAUUAAUCUGACGAGGAUCAUUUUAUUAUUUCUUAUGGCCCCAUAUUUUAACUGGAACACAACAGUUUCUGGUAUGUACAUUUAAUACAUUUCAUAACUAUUAUUUGAUAAUUGUGUAUUAUUAAGUGCUUUAAGAUGCUGUGAUAAAUAUGAAAUCUGGAAAGCUGACAGUGUGUAUAUAUGAAUAUGGUUUGAUAUUUUGGAAAAGGGUUUACAUUCAACAUUCAUGUUAGGAAAUGUUACCAUUAAUAAUUCUUCUAAUUCAUGUUUUUUUUUUUUUUGUUUUUUUUUCAGUUGAUCUUCCGGUUUCCUUUCAUAGAAUAAUUGAAUACAUGGGCAUUCCCAUUGCAUAUCUUCUGAUUUCCACAGCGUUUUGCUCAGCUGUUCUUCAUGAUCUCUGGAAUGCAUCUAAGUGGUCUGAAGUUGUUCUUGUCAGUGCUUUGAUUAUUCUCCUGUCAUCCACACCAGUUUUUCUUCGAGCUUUAAGUGAAGUUUGCUUCACACAUUUUUUUGAGAUACAUUUUUCCCUUCGCUUUGUAACAAGUAUGUCAAAUUAUAUUCUAUUGCAAUUUUUAUGCUAUAGAGAUUAUUUGGAAUUACAUAAAGAAAAAUAUCAGAUUUCUAUAUUUGGUUUUGUACUGCUCAAAUCAUGUUCAUUGGUCAGUAACGCUCUAACGUUGAGAACAUUGAUCCUCUACAGCAGUGGUUCCCAA
ensembl:lncRNA